CAGAGGGUGCGAGCGUUAAUCGGAAUUACUGGGCGUAAAGCGCGCGUAGGCGGCUUUUCAAGUCGAUUGUGAAAUCCCCGGGCUUAACCUGGGAACUGCAGUCGAGACUGUCUAGCUAGAGUAUGGGAGAGGGAAGUGGAAUUUCAGGUGUAGCGGUGAAAUGCGUAGAUAUCUGAAGGACAUCAGUGGCGAAAGCGACUUCCUGGACCAAUACUGACGCUCAUGUGCGAAAGCGUGGGGAGCAAACAGGAUUAGAUACCCUGGUAGUCCACGCCAUAAACGAUGAGAACUGGAUGUCGGGAGGGUCUGCCUCUCGGUGUCGUAGCUAACGCGUUAAGUUCUCCGCCUGGGGAGUACGGCCGCAAGGUUCG
rnacentral:rRNA from 1 species